GUGUGACUUCCCUAACCCUUUUCUUCCUCCAAAGCCCAACCCACCCCCACCCCCUCGCUCUCUCUCUCUCUCUCUCUCUCUCUCUCACACACACACACACACAUAUCCACACACACACACGAGAACCUGGUUCAAUGGCCCCAAAAUUAGAUCUCAGUCAUGUUUAUAUUUCUUCGUUUAAACUGACAGCCUGUGCUGAAUUCAUUUCGUUUUUUGACAAUUUAUACACUCUUCUUUCUCAUUCAAAGAUGUUGAUUCGGAGAGUCGCAAUCAGUGCUUAUUUAAGUUCUUUCUUGGUCGAUUAUUAUAGCUGAUCCAGCAGAAAAAAGAUAAGAUCAGUUGAUGCUAGAAUCUGAGCCGAUAGUUUCUUGCAUAAAAUCCAGGGAAUCACGAGCACCUGCUUUUGAUUUUUCUUGCCAUUUUUUCUUCACCUUUUUCGGUGAUUUGAAAUAUUCAAUUCCAUUUGAAGGGAAAAAUAACAAAAAAGAAAAUAGAGGUUUUCUUUUCUUUUCUUUCUUUCUUUCUUUUUUUUUUUUGGUAUCUCGUGUAGUUUGAAAAUGAGUUUGAAUACUUGAGGUUACUCUUAGUUACAUCAUCAAGUCAUUGCUCUACAUUUUGCCCAUUAGAAAUAAACCACAUCAGCCUCAAGCUCGUGGCUUUCUUUGAUUGUUCUGAUUCCAAUAUGCACAUAAAUCUCAGUGUUUAAUCUCUAAACCACAUACCCCUAGCACUUUUUGAUCCCUAAUUUGUUAUAGGUUUUCUCUCUGCAAGUCUUGGUGAUUUUAUGCAUGGAUCUAUACGUGUACACAGUCGUUGAUUUCUGGUGUAGCACCAUCAAGAUUCACAUAUAAAGGCAAGAUGGUAAACUGAUAUAGUCUCUCUCUCUCUCUACCAAAGCUUUUGAUGGUGAGAAUCUUGAUGAUGCUGCAUCGGCAAUAAACGACUAGCAAAUCAAUAGAAAAAGUCGGUCACAGGUGUGUCUCCUUUUUCAGUUAUUUGAUCAAGAUUCAAGAGGGUUAAACUCACUGUUUUCCAGUUCUUUUUAUGAUUCUCUGUCAGGUGGGAUUUUUGGUGUUUUCCAGGACUAAAAUAUUACUUUUACUGUUUUAUUUUCUCUUUGUUUUCUGUCAGCUGUAUCAAGAACAGACUAAAGUGACUACACUCUGCUGAUGAAAUACUCUGAUCGAGUACUGCAUAGAUCUGUGAUUAUUCUUCCGUGCAGAAAAAAGUCUCUAUAAUAGAGAUGGGAUGUAAAUGUAAUCAAGGGUCCAGAACUUGGGAGAGAGAAUAAUUACCAUAAAGUGGAAAUUGUUGGAUUCAUUUUUGCUUAUUUAUUUUUAACAUAUAACAUUCACCUGAUUUAUAUGCUUAUCAGACCUUGUUUAUGACUGUUUUCAGAAAUUAAUGCAUAUGCAAAUUGAAUGGUCAGCUUUGGACAAGAAUUUGCUGCGACAGCCAAUCAAUAAAAAGAGGUAAAGAAAAGAAAGUUUAUUAAAUGUUGUAUUUGCUUAUAGAAUAUAACUAAUGUAUUAAAUCAAUAUCACAUAGAAGUUUGGUUAUGUGUUUUUGUUUGUCUUUUAUAGAGGAGAUUCAAGAUAUAAAUGAUUAUUUUAUGGACAUUCUUAGUUAUAAGUGGAUUUUUUGUCUGUUCAAGUCAUAGUUUUCUUUAAAAAUUGCAACAUAUCUUGGAACUUCUCAGUGCAAAUUGUGGUAGAACUAAACCUGAUAGUAACGUGACUCCAUGGUUAGGUUUAUUGGUUUUAACAUUUGAUCACAAUCAGUCCUUUAGGUGGACCUUCUUGAGAAACAUCUAAGCAACUUGACCUAUUGAUAUGUACUCUCUCUCCGAACAUAGCCACCACUUAAUGGUAAUAUCCUCACAAGUUUGUCGAAGUAGCUUGGUUUUCCCUCGACCUAUGCAAUUGAUUAUGUUGAUAAUUUGAAUAAUUCAAUUAAAUAGAGAUUGUUAGAUGCACGUGUGUGGGAACAAUCUUUUUUUUUUUUUUUUAUGCGUGUUUGAAUAGAGAUCGAUGGUCUUCAUAGUCUUGGAUGUGUGAAGGGGUGCUAUAUAUGAGCCGAUGACAUAACUUGGCCUGAUGCAAUAGAAAGGCUUGUAAUCCAAGUGAAUUUUGUGCUUCAAAAGCUUACUUUGGAGGAAUUGAAUGACUUUGCCUAGAUUUGAUCACCAUUUUAUGUGGAUGGCCAAUGAUAUUAAUGUAGAUGAGGUACAAUGAAAUUAACAUUUGCUAAGUCAGCCAUUUAAUAUUUCUGAUUUCCAUGGAAAAAAUUUAGCCCUUGUUUGAGCCUCGUUCUUGUCAAAAAAUACAUUUUUGAAUAGUGUAUCGAUGGAUAAUGUGUGGUUAAAAAAUAAAAAUAAAAAUAAAAAGUUAUGAAUUUGCGUAUAAUAUUAUUUUAUUGAAGAAUGUGUGGUUGAAGCGGGGUCAACUAACUAUUGAAAAAUGUAUUUUGAUGGAAAAACAGGACUUAAAAGGAUUUUUGUAGUCAACCCGAAAUCUAUCAUGAACAAAGCUUGGUUCAUGUUGUUGUAGUUAUUGAGGUGCCAUUUGACCAUUCGAGUCCUUACCAGUAGUUCUCUCUUCUACUUUAUGUGUUGUCAAUCCAAAUUCUAUCCUGCUUACAGAUUUUCCGUCCAUAAUCGAAAUGUCGAAGCUAAUGUAGAGAAUAUUGCACUCUAGUCUACAUUUGCAUCAAUAAUAUUUGAUCAAUUAAAUAUAGUCCUGUACUACCUCAAAAUUUCUGCAAUUCUGUACCAGCAGAAUUGCAUUUCACAUAACGCUAACAAAAUAAGACACGAUAGGGGGUUGGGUGAUUGGCCUUUUUUUUAUUUUUUUAUUUUUUUUUAUUUUUUUUUAUCACAAUAUGGGACCUGCACAAUGUGAGAUUUCUAGUGCACUUUUGUAGAACAGUUUUAUGUACAAAUGGAAUAAGUGUCAGAAUUUUGUGUUUUGCUUCAGAAACUCAAUCAAUCUCUCCCUCCCCCCCCCCCCCCCCCCCCCCUCGCGGGGGGAAGCAGUGGUUUGUUAAUUAUCUGUAUAACUUGCUACUAUUUACAUUCCAAAUAAACCUUUUGAUUAUUUUUUCCCUUUCUGUAUAGAUAAAAGAAAUCCCUUUCCCCACGUUGCUUUAAUAUAAGGAUUUGCUACCCUUAUGUUUUUUUUUUUAAAAACUCGUAAAUUUCCUUUUUUCUUUCUACCUUGAUCACAGAUUGUCAUGUGCAAUCUAACAUACCAAACACGCCUUGAAAUUAAUCGAGGAAAAAGAUAUACUUCAAUAUGGCUCCAACUAUUCUUUGCUGCACUUGUCUCAAAAUCUAUGAUGAUUAUAUCGAAUGAAAUGUUAGACAAUUCCUAUUUAAUUUCAUGUUUAAAUAAGACACUGCCAGCAACUGAAAAUCAACAUAUUUUCAACGUCUUAUAUUGAUCUUCAUUAUAUAAAUCCUCAGAGAAUGUGAGUAAAAAUAGUUUAUAGUUAACAAUGUUGUGUUUGCAUUUAGUUUAUUUAUUUAUUUUUUCAUGAUUUUCCUCUGUACUGACACGACCCGUCUGGAAUCAUCCUAAUGGACUCGACACGUGUUGUACGUCUAUGGUAGAUAGCAGUUAAGUGCCGGACCCAUCACCAAGACAACUUUAACCUACUUUGACGAUUUUUUAAAAGAAUUUUGAUAGAGUUUCCUCUAAAAUAUAGCCUAAAAUCACCUGAACAAUAAUCAACUUUCUCAAAUCUAUACAUAUAAUUUAAAAUAGGGUGCACAAUCCUCUCAAAACUCAAAUUAUUCAUUAUAGAUGGCAAAUAUCAGCUAAUUGUCGGACCACCAAUGCAACUUUACCUACUUUGAUUGUGAAGAAUUUUUAAAAGAAUUUUGACAGAGUUUUCUUCAAAACAUAGCUUAAAACCACCUAAAAAAUAAUCAACUUAUCAAAUAAGUAACUUUAAAUUUUUAUCCAUCUUAAGCUCUCAAAAUAUUUUUUAUCAUAAAAUAAUCCCAAUAAAAUAAUUUGGUCAAUUCAAGUCCCAAUAAAAUGACUUUGAUGAGUCAACCUUUGAUUUUUUACCAGAAAAAAAUUGGGUUGUAACAUGUACGGUCAUGAAUUUAUUUACAUGGUUGUACAGAACUUCGUGGACCAAAGACAAAGAGGAGCACUAGUCUUUUAUAUGACAGUACAUGCAAGAUUUUUGCAAGCUUAUGAGGUGUGAGGCCCUCUGAUCCCUUGACGGGAUCAUUCUCUAUAUCUCCCCUGUCUGUAAAUUUACUUUUCUAUUUUCACACUGUAAAAGGCUAUUUAUAACUACUGCUCUUUACCAUCUUCGUUAGGGGCGGAGCUAGAAAAUUAAGUCGAGAUGCGCUAAAUAAUAUUUUGAGCUCGGCUAAUAUUAAAGAAUUUCACAUAAAUUUUUCUACAGCUUAAGAAUAUGGACCGUAAGCUCACAAACAUUGGGUUAAGCCAGGGAUCUGAUGGCGACAGCAAAAAGAAUCCACUGAAGGCAUAGCGAAAACGAGUCAAUUCCUCGAACGUAAACAUGGGUGUAUAUAAUUAACCAAUUUUACAUGAUGUGAAAAGUUUUUUCUCGAGUCUGAGUCUCUCCGAUGCCCUAACAUAUGGGUAAAAAGGAGUGAUGGUACCAAGUUGCUGACAGAUUUAAAAGCAUGCAGCCAGUUGGCAUGGGAAAC
rnacentral:lncRNA from 1 species